GCUUGUCUCAAAGAUUAAGCCAUGCAUGUUCAAGUAUAGCAAGUGUACAGUGAAACUGCGAAUGGCUCAUUAAAUCAGUUAUAAUUUAUUUGAUAGUGAAAUUGUACAUGGAUAACCGUGGCAAUUCUAGGGCUAAUACAUGCGUCAAUGGUCGGUCGACCAGUAUUUAUUAGAUACAAAGCCAGCCGUCAGGAUCAGGUGAAUCAUGAUAACCAAACGAAUCGCAAGCGCAAGCGGCGAUGGUUCAUUCAAAUUUCUGCCCUAUCAACUUUCGAUGGUUCGGUAUUGGCCAACCAUGGUGGCAACGGGUAACAGGUUUUCAGCGAAAGAUUCUGGAGAAGAAGCCCGAGUAACAGCUUCUACAUCCAAGGAAGGCAGCAGG
rnacentral:rRNA from 1 species